CAAAUGCUUUCACACAUAACUUUUCAUCCCAACUGCAGCACGUCAGUACUGCUCUGAUCGCUCUCAAAGUGAUUGCGGGACAGUGAAAAGGCCAUUGAGAUGGUCCUGGCCCUGUGGAAUUGGCCAGCCAGUGCAGCAGUGAACCAGUUUAUUGUCUAUUUAAGCCCAAGAUUGUAUUUCAGUCAUCUCAAGAGGUAAAGUUAGGAUUGCCUCAUGUUCCCCAUGAAGCUGCAGCCCCUUCAGGGCUCGUCCUCAUCCCCUGCUGCACAGCUGUUGUGGAAGUCUGCUGUCAUGGAGUUGUGAUGUCGCAGCCCAUGUUCCACCGGCAACUGCCCGUUACCAGUGAGACACACAACAGAGAGACCUUCGUACCUGCCCCUGCUCUUGUCCUGUCCUCCCUCUGACCCUUCCAGGACCCUUUCUGCCCUGCUCUCAGCCCUUCUAGCCUACUGCCUUCCUAGUCUCCUGUUCACUGAUCCACGGUCCUAUCCUGGUACCCCCCAUGCAGCCCCCUAGGAAGACCACCCUUGUCCUGCUGGCAGCCCAGCCCAGCCCUUGCGGGAGCGAGGAGACCGAGACCUGCAUCCGCAGAUUAUGGAGCCCGUGGGUGCCGAGGCAGGCUCAAGGCCAGGUCUGUGCCUGGCUCCCGCAGGCAGGGAGCACGGUCGCUCACCCCUGUCCUCUCUGCUGCACAGGUCCUCAAGCCCUUACCACCCCGCAAGGUGCUUAAGUGCAGCAGGCGCAGGCUCCUCCAGCUGCAAGUGCCGGCCCGUCAGAGCUGGCUGUUCCAACACAUGUGAGAGCUGGAGGAGGAGGCUGCCAGCAGGACCCAAGGGGGGCUGCAGCAGCAGGAAGACAUGGAAGUUAAGGUGGAGAUGGAGGUGGGUGAGGCAAUGGAGGUCGAUGAGCAGUUGGAGGAGAUGGAGGAAAUGGAGGUGGACUGAGGAGUGGUAAGGCAGCACGUGCCCCCCAUCCACUGCCAGCAGUGAGGUUGGUUCUGCUGCUGCCGUGCUGGGGCUGGGGCUGUGUGCGACAGCCCCUCUGCAGGGACACGGUGCCGGUGGUCUCAUCCUGGCAGCACGAGUGCCACCACCGCGCUGCCCUGUGCUGCCUUGGGGUCACGUAAGCCAAGUCUGAUCACACGGAGCCCGGCUCCCAGCCCCAGCCAGGACUGAGCCCCGCGGCAGAAUCCCGCUUUCCCCAGCGUGUCCCAGGGCUGUGGCAAACACAGUGACCCAUCAGGAGCCUCACUGAAAUGACCUGGUGCUGCUUGUUUCCAGGGAUGACCCAGGUGGAGGUUUUGCGGUGUUGGAAGAUUUUGAGAGAAGAGUUGUUGUUUUCGCAGAAGAUUGUUGUUUUUCACAGAAGAUUUUUGUUUUUUCAUAGAAUAGUUGUAGUUUUCAGUAGAAGUGUUGUAGUUUUACAUAGAAUAGUUGUAGUUUUAAGUAGAAGAGUUGUGAUUUGUUGUGUUGUUUGUUUUGUCGGGUUGCUUGUUGUUCUGAAAAUACAUUUCUCUAUGCUUUCCUGA